GGAAGGCAUUUUACUUUGUAGUUACAAUAGACUAAGUUUGAUCGAGAAGAAUAUUAGCACCUAACACAUCAACUAAGUAAAUUAUAAAAAUGUAUUUUAUUAUCGAUCUAAUUGUUCUCAUUUGAUAUUCAAAAUAUUAUCAUAAUUUUUUAUAAAACUUUAUCAAAUUUGGAACAGUUUGAUUUCAGAUAAAUCAAAAUGGCUUACAUUUAAGAUAAAUCAAAAUGAAAAUAGCUUAUCAGUUUUUUUUUCAAGUUCUUCAGGUGGCAGCGUUACACAACUUUAGCAUGAACCAUGUCAAGUGAUGUUUGCUUGUUCCAGUGUUCCUGAACACAACUGACAGCUCCGCUGUUCCUGAACAUCUCCGCUGACCGCUGAACACUGGGGCGCAUGCCGCUGGUGUGGUGCCGUUGCAGCAGGCGAUCCCCACCGGCGCCGCCCACCAACGCACUACGAAGUUGCAGACGGGAGACCACCGUCGCCGGAGGCGUAGCAUCCGACCACCGCGGUGAGGAAGGAGACCCAGGCCUUUCGGAUCGCUGCAAGACGCCAUGCGCCCAUGCCCGGCCGGCCGUUGGCUGUCUGCUACCUGCUGCUUCUUCGCUCGGCUAGGACGCGCGGAGGCUCGGAGCUCGGCGCGUUCUCGAACCGGCAGUCGAACGACGAAGAAGGAAAGGCAAUCGGUGGCCGUACAUGUGCGAUCGAACGGCCACGAGAGGCCCAGGCGUGGACGGCAUUCGAAGUACCGUCCCCACGAAAACGCCUCUAGCGAACUUGAAGCACUGAUGCCUUAGUAAGUUUCAUUGAUGACAAGGCUUGGCCAAACUCAUCUGUCACGUUUUUUUCGUGUUGUUUAGCUUUGUAUGCAACUGCAUCAUACACAGAGGCUGGUACCACCAAAGUAUCUGUAUCUGUAGUUCUGUACA